UUUCCCUCCCCGUUCGGACUCUCUCUCUCUCUCAAAAAUAAAUAAACAUUAAAAUUUUUUAUUUUUUAAAAAGAAGAGGCAGGUGAAUCUGGGUCCUGGAGCUGCUGGGGCUGGGGCAGUCUGGAUGCAGCCAUGUUGGGCUGGCAUCCGAAGCUGCAGCAGCGAGGCUCAAGGUCCCUGCAGAUCAUGCAACGCUGGGAUAUGGAACCCUGGGAGAUGGAACCCUGAGAGAUGCAACCCUGGGAGAUGGAACCCUGGGAGAUGGAACUCCAAUCUCAAGGACCAGCGGAAGCACCUGUAGAACAGCAACACCAGCACAAACCAUAGGGCUCAUGGUUCCUCAGCAGCUCCUCCCAACUCCUCCCCCAUUUAGGGGUGACAUCCCCAUGUCACCUUCUUCAACAUAUGCUGGCUUAGGACCCUCUGAGGAGGCAGGAUGGGGGAAUGGAAAGGCUUUAAACUGCAGGCUGGGGGCCCCCUUCCAUGACUCAUCCUGGAGGGAGAUGGGGACAUUUGCCUCCAGGUAAGUCUACCUCCAGGAUGAGACAGCUCCCUGCUGCUGGUGUUUAUGAUGCGAACCAGUGGCUCUGCCCGGCUUGCGCUUCGGACAUGGCAUGUCAGCCUCAUCUCCUCUGCCAUAAACAAGACCUUGGUCUGUCUGAAACAAGACCAAGCAAGACAGGACUCCUCCCCUCCAGGGAAAUCCCCAGGGUGACCUUUGAGUUGCCCCCUGGAUAUGCUAGCACCAUGGCAGAUGGGUGCUUGGUUAUUGCCUUCUGAGGAAUGAAUAAAGGCACAGAAUAAACAUUCCAAGCUCUGGAGGAUAAAGUGGGCGUUCUCUACGUUUUGCAGUUACAGAGCACAGUCGGGGUCAUCCACAAGCAAAGAGAAAGAGAGGCCUGGAGACUACUAUUUGCUAACAAUGCCACCUCUAAGUGACUUCUGAUCCCAGCAUAGAGCUUCCGUAGUUACCGCUCACAUUUGGACAAGCACAUCUGUAUAUUCACCCCUGAUGGAAAACAGUGCGAGGAGUGCAGUGGCCCGCCUAUGUGACCACCUCUUGGAAGGGCGCCAUCUCUGACUACGUCACAACCUACGGCACAGGACAGGAACCACCUGCCACCAGACAGUAGUGUUCCUCUCCUGCCAUCAGAGCUGGUGUUCAUCAGAUCUGCCAGUCAGAAGGUGCCACCCUGAUGCACGUUCAUUUACUCUCCCAACGACCCUACCCAACAACCUACUCUCUUGAUUUCACAGACAGGAGAAGAGCCAACGCUGAGAGAGACGGGGAAAUCUGUCCCCGGCCACGGGGCAGCGAAGGAGAGCCAGGACGUGGCCCAGACAGUGGACUCCGGAGUAGUGCUCUUACCCCGAAGUGGGAUAUCGCUCAUUCUCAAUUCAAGCCGCAAGCUUGAAAUUCUGCCCCUUAUUUCAUCCCAGCAAGCAGGAAAACAUCAGCAACGUGCGUCCCUUGUCCAACCUUCAGGGUUCCACUGACUGUGCCAUCCGGGUGCCCCUAUGUCUCUAACUUUUGAGUGCUAUCAAGAGGCCGCAUUUUGCUUAUUUACUUUUUAAUAUAACUUAUUGUCAAGUUAGUUAACAUACAGUGCACACACUGUGCUCUCGGUUUCAGGGGUAGAUUCCCGUGAUUCAUCACUUAUAUACAACACCCAGUGCUCAU